GUUUUGGCUAGUUCCAGAUGAACUCCCACCCCCGCUCCGCCUACCAUACAGCUGGAAGUAGCUCUGUCAUCUUACUCUAGAGGCCCUCCCCUCACCUCACAUGCAAUCCACACACAUCCUUAGAAUGGGGCAGGAGGAGAAGACAAACUUCACUGGAGCUGCUUCUAUACUGUUUUCCUAACAGACUUGUGGCAGAAUAGAGCUCCUGUCGUAUGUGCACUGGGUGGACUUUUGUUUUUGUUUGCCCAGCCUUCCUUUCUUCUCUCCUUAGAUGACAGCACACUUUAUUCCUUUAGAGAAUUGCUCCUCCAUGCCUGUGUCCUAGAUUCUGAUGAGGCCUCCUUCCCUGUACCCUGCCCCAUCCCUCAGCUACAAAAAUGGGCACAUGGCCCAGGCUUGGCCAAUUAUUCCUUGGCUUUAAUGACUGGUCCUCAUGGUGGACAGGAGGCUCAAGUUGGUCCAAUCAGAGUUCUUUCAAGACGGUGAAUGCGCUCCCUUUCUUUCCUUGCAGAUCCUGAGCUGGAGCAAGGCCCUUAAUGGAUUGGGUGGUGCCCACUCACACUGGGGAGGACCAUCUGAUUCAAGUGCUGAUCUCAUCUGGAAACACUGGCACAGACAUACCCAGAAAUCAUGAUUAAUCUGGGCACCCCAUGGCCCAGUCAGGUUGACAUAUAAAAUUAACCAUCACACUUUUUUACAUGUGGUUUUGUUGUUGUUGUUUUUAGAGACAGGGUCUUACUCCGUUUUCCAGGUUGGAGCGCAGUCGUGCAAUCAUGGCUCACUGCAGCCUUGAACUCCUAGGCUCAAGCGAUCCUCUUGCCUCAUCCUCUCGAGGAGCUAGGACCACAGGUAUGCGCCACCACAUCCAGCUAAUUUUUUAAAAGUUUUUUGUAGAGACAGGGUCUUGCUCUGUCACCCCAGCUGGUGUCAAGCUCCUAGUCUCUCUCAUACAUGUUUUUAUAUUUUUCUAUGUAUGUAUGCAUACUUAAACAAUACAACGUAUCAUUUUUUGCCUUUAAAAAAUUUUUAAACAAAUUAUAUUAAUAUGUGUGUCUUCUUCUAAAACUUUCUUUUUUGUACUCACCUUUAUAUCUCUGACAUUUAUGCAUGCGAUACAUCUAUUAUCAUUUAGUUACUGUAUACUACCAUUGAAUGAAUAUAUCAGAGUUCAUUUAUCCAUUCCUUUGUGAAUAGACUUUUAGGUUGUUCUAUGUUUUGCUAUUUCGAACAAUGUUACCAUGGACAUAUUUGUCCUCACCUUGUGAACACCUGUGAGAAUUUCUGGAGGCGGAAUUUUGAGGUGGGAGUACAGGCGCAUCUUCGACUUUUUAUUAAAUAUUGCCACAUUGUUUUCUAAAACAUUUGUUAUACUCUGCAAUGAAUUCAGGUUAUGGCCACAAGAUCUACACAUUCUCCUUGGUUUUUGGCUGGAGCAGCUCUCACCACCACUUGUGCUAUUGUUUUGGGGCCAGUUGGCCACUGCUGCCUCCACUGUUGCCAUGAAACAGCAGCCUGCUUGUAAGCAUAAAGUCACAGUGCUCAUGGUAGAAUAUUUGUAAAGGUGGCUGCAAUGACCCCUUUCAUUGCCAUGUGCAUGCCGCAUUACAGUAUGCCUACUCUACUCCCAUCAAGAUGUGUAUUUCCCUUCUCCUUGAAUCUGGGCUGGCCUUGUAACUUCUUUGACCAACAGAAUGUGUGGAAAUGACCUUGUGUGACUUCUGAGUCUCAGCUUCAAGACAUCUUGCAGCCUCUUGUCUCCUCAUCUUGGAAUGCAAUGCUGCCAUGUUAGAAAGCCUCCAAGAGGGUGAAUCAUCAUAUGAAGAGAAGCAACCAUGAAGGAUGACCCUAUGAUGAGAUGGUGCCAUCAGGAAGCACCAAGUGCCCAACAUGUCACUGUGGCCAUCUUGGACCAUUCAACCCCAAGUAAGCCACUAGAUGACUGCAGCCAUGUAGGUAACCCCUGGAAAGAUCAACAGAAGAACCACUAAGCUGAGCCCAGUCCAUAUUGCUCGCCUGUAGUAUUAUAAGCAAAUAAAAUGGUUGUUG
rnacentral:lncRNA from 10 species